AUUGAACGCUGGCGGCAUGCCUUACACAUGCAAGUCGAACGGCAGCACGGGAGUAAUCCUGGUGGCGAGUGGCGAACGGGUGAGUAAUAUAUCGGAACGUGCCUAGUUGUGGGGGAUAACGCAGCGAAAGCUGUGCUAAUACCGCAUACGAUCUAUGGAUGAAAGCGGGGGAUCGCAAGACCUCGCGCAAUUAGAGCGGCCGAUAUCAGAUUAGCUAGUUGGUGGGGUAAAAGCCCACCAAGGCGACGAUCUGUAGCUGGUCUGAGAGGACGACCAGCCACACUGGAACUGAGACACGGUCCAGACUCCUACGGGAGGCAGCAGUGGGGAAUUUUGGACAAUGGGCGCAAGCCUGAUCCAGCAAUGCCGCGUGCAGGAUGAAGGCCUUCGGGUUGUAAACUGCUUUUGUACGGAGCGAAAAGGUUCUUUUUAAUACAGAGAGCUCAUGACGGUACCGUAAGAAUAAGCACCGGCUAACUACGUGCCAGCAGCCGCGGUAACAC
rnacentral:rRNA from 1 species